AUGAACGCUGGCGGCGCGCCUCACACAUGCAAGUCGAACGAUUAAAGCACCUUCGGGUGUGUAUAAAGUGGCGAACGGCUGAGUAACACGUGGGCAACCUGCCCCUCUCAUUGGGAUAGCCACGGGAAACCGUGGAUAAUACCGAAUACUUCGGGACUUCCGCAUGGAAGACUCGAGAAAGCUCCGGCGGAGAGGGAUGGGCCCGCGGCCUGUUAGCUUGUUGGUGGGGUAAUGGCCUACCAAGGCAAUGAUGGGUAGCUGGGUUGAGAGACCGACCAGCCAGAUUGGGACUGAGACACGGCCCAGACUCCUACGGGAGGCAGCAGUGGGGAAUCUUGCACAAUGGGCCAAAGCCUGAUGCAGCGACGCCGCGUGCGGGAUGAAGGCCUUCGGGUUGUAAACCGCUUUCAGCAGGGACGAGGCGAAAGUGACGGUACCUGCAGAAGAAGCCCCGGCUAACUACGUG
rnacentral:rRNA from 1 species